CCGGCCCGGCGGGACGGAAAACGGGGCAAGGUCUGCUCCAGGCCACGGGAGAGCUGGAUUCGUGGCGCCGGUGGGAGGAGAGACAGAGAGAGGGGCUAAACAGUCCCAGCUCCCUCAGCUUUCCCUCAUAAAUAAGGUGCACCAGUCCCCUCAUCUUCCAGGACACUUUCAGGCUAUAUCUCUCCUGCCCUGAGGAGAUCAGAACUGGAUGUGUCCCAUCCCUGGAAACACUGGAGCAUCCUCCCACAUCCCAGGCAGGACACCAGGGUCCUUCCAGCCCACCCCAGCCUUGACUCCCAGCUCAGGCUCCUCUGCAGUCAGACACUCUGGGGAAGCUCCAGGUUGUGGUGACACGAGUGAAGACAGACAAUCAAGAAAACAGAAUGUGAAGUAUUUUUUUUUUUAUAUACAGAAUACAGGAAAGUUUCUGUAAAGUCUAAAACGUUACAAUUACUAUGUACAGUGGAACUAGCUGUUCUGCUGCGGGGAGGUGGCAGAGAAACAAAAGAGACAGACAGGUUACGACAAAGGAUCUGCUACAAUAGACAAUUUGAGGAACGUCAUACCACAUGUAGCACUGUACACAGCUUUAAAACAUUGAAAAAUGCCAUCACUGAUGUAUUUACACAGAAUCCAACACUUUUCCUUAUUUGAAAUAAAAAAUAAGAUGGACACCAGGAAAAGAAC